UACGAAGGGGGCUAGCGUUGUUCGGAAUUACUGGGCGUAAAGCGCACGUAGGCGGAUAUUUAAGUCAGGGGUGAAAUCCCAGAGCUCAACUCUGGAACUGCCUUUGAUACUGGGUAUCUUGAGUAUGGAAGAGGUAAGUGGAAUUGCGAGUGUAGAGGUGAAAUUCGUAGAUAUUCGCAGGAACACCAGUGGCGAAGGCGGCUUACUGGUCCAGCACCGACGUUCAGGCACGAAAGCGUGGGGAGCAAACAGG
rnacentral:rRNA from 1 species